ACCCUUUUGUAGUUCAUAAGUAUGAUGAUUGGGUUUUCAUGCACAUGCGUGAAAUGUGUCUCCCUCAGUUCUUGUUACGAGGUCAACACAUUACCCAUCUGAUA